UAAAUGCCACAAACUAUUCAC
rnacentral:piRNA from 1 species